rnacentral:lncRNA from 1 species
GGGCCCCGCGCGCUCCAGGAGAGAGCCCCCUCCGCCGAGGCCGCCGCGUGCUCGGCCUUUCCCCGCCCAGAGAGCCGGAGCCUACCAACUAACUCCGCCCGCCGCGCCCUCCGCUCCGCCGCCCGCAGGCUCCCGCUUCCGUCCCGGACUGUGCCCGGGGCUGCGCAGGUUAAGAGAAGCCUUACGCCAAUUGGAAAAUAACAUUCCGGAAAGGUUUAUGACCUGAGUGGCUUGGGGCCCCCUCAGACGCUGUGGUACCCUUGAAGGUCUGUGGCUGGAUUUAAAAGAAGAAAUGUUUAUGUGUUCUCACUCUGGUAAGCUAAAUUUGAGGCUUCAAGGCGAAGUUCUUUGUUUUGAAGGUGAAGGUGUGUGGAAACGGUCUUUCUCUUGCCACCCCCUCAUCCUAAUGGUUGUACUCUGCUGUUGCGCAUCAACACCAAGUUUGUGAGACAGGGCAGAAGGGGAUUGUGAUUUUUUUUUUCUCAAAUUAUGUGCUAGGAUGUUUAUACAGUUCACGAGAUAUACACGGCAUCCUCAAACUUUUGAAAUCGUUAGUUCCCUUUCCAAGGAAAACAUCCUUGCUUAUUUCCAGUUUGACUUAAUUACAUGUGUCAUAAUGCUACAUAAAUACAUUCCAAUGUGGAAUAAAUGUCUUAGUUUAUAGCAUUUUGGCAGUUAUAAAAGAAAUCAAAUUUGCAAAUUAAAUGCCAACAAAAGCAUACAACCAAUCCAAAUUCAGGUAAUUAAUUUAUGUGACAGAUGUGAGGUUUUGCUAAAAGUAAACUGUCAAUUUUGGGCUCAUUCAUACCCAGGAUAGAUGUUAUUUAAUCUAUAUCUACCUUUUGAUUUCAUGAUAUUUAUAUAUUAUAAACCUUUGAAUAUCUGUAGUUUGAUAUGGUUCGACCUAAAAAAAUGCCUAAGUAACUUGGUAGAAAUAAUUUUAAAGUGUUGUUUGAUAAUUCAGAAUAAUAGAACUUCAGGAAAACCAGAUUUAAUGCAUGUUGCUACUUAAACACAAAAGCUCUUUUCUUCCCUUUGGUGUAUUUAAGUGCGGACCUCAGGCUAGUCCUGGCCCCAAACCUAGGGUCUAGAAUCAGAUUUCCUGGAUUCGUCUUGCUGCAACGAUAUGUUUUCCAUACAAAUUUCUGUGAGUAUGGAAACUAAACUAAAACUGCUGAGUUUGCAAGUAUGAAGAUAUAUAAAGUUCUUGCCCUGUAUUGUAUUUGAUUGCCAUUUAUAGCCACCAUGUAGAAAAGAUCCCAGCUUACCGCAUCCCACAUCAGGAAUCAAAAAACAUUUUCUAUAAAUGGACAAUGGGGUAAACAUUUUAGACUUUGCAGGCCACACACAGUCUCUAUAGCAACUACUCGGUCCUGCCACAUUACAGCAGGAAAGCAGCCCUAGAUAAUAUAUAAAACUUUGUUGAAAUUUAAACUUCAUUUAAUUUUCAUGUGCCACAAAAUAGUAUUCCUCUUUUAAUUUUUUUCCAACAAGUAAAAUUGUAAAAACCAUUUAUUCUUAGCUUGAAGGCUGAAAAGAAAAAAAAAACUACAACAACAGCAUGGCGUUUGACUUGAGGGUCUAUUUGUGGAGGCCUGCCUUAGAUGACAUUACACAGAGUAGAGAGAAAUCUAUUUCCUUUUUGUUAUUAGAGGUAGUAUAGUCUGGUAAUAACACAGUAGCUCUGAAGUGAGACUGCCUGCCUCGGAAUGUGACCUUUUUUGACUCAGUUUUCUCAUCUGGAAAAUAGGGGAAAUUUUUUCUUUGUAUCUCAAACAUUUGCAGGAGAUGCAAAAAGAGACUAGAUGUGUAAUACAGAGAAGUAAUCUGUAGCUUUUGCUCUUAUUAAUUUCUGUUAUUACUUUUCAGGUUAUACAGCUUUUCAUGUGCUCACUGGCCAUUUAAAAUUUUUUAUUUGUUCUUUUAUGACUUUUACAUUUAUAUCUGUUAUUUGUUCUUUAUAUAUUGACAUGAUAUUUAUUUUUUUUUCUGUCUUUUUAGUGCUGCAUCUGUGACAUAUGGAAGUUACCAGGCUAGGGGUCAAAUUGAUGCUGUAGUUGUCAGCCCAUGCCACAGCCAUAGCAACACAGGAUCCGAGCCACAUCUGUAACCUACACUGCAGCUCUCAGCAACCUGGGUCCUUUAACCCACUUAAGUGAGGCUAGUGAUUGAACCGACAUCUUCGUGGAUACUAAUUGGAUUCUUAAUCUGCCGAACCACAAUGGGAGGUCCAAGAUUUUUGUUUGUUUGUUUGUUUGCCUUCUGGUUUUGUGGUGGUUUUUCUUUUUUUUUCUUCUUCUUCUUUUUUAACAGAUAUGAUCUUUCAUUUUUAUGCACUGCAGUUAUUGAAGGUAAUUAUUUCAGUAUUUCAUUUACUAAGGGUAAAUUCAAUACAUUUAUCUUCAUUAUUUUUAUUUUUAUAAAAAUAUCUCAAUCUGGGAGUUUCCGUUGUGGCACAGUGGAAACGAAUCUGACUAGGAACCAUGAGGUUGUGGGUUUGAUCCCUGGCCUCACUCAUUGAGUUAAGGAUCCAUUGUUGCCAUGAGUUGUGGUGUAGGUUGCAGACAUGGCUUAGAUCUGGUGCUUCUGUGGCUGUGGUGUGGGCCGGCAGCUAUACCUCCAAUUAGACCCCUUGCCUAGGAACCUCCAUAUGCAGGUGUGGCCUGAAAAAGUAAAACAAAAAUCUCAGUCUAGUAGAGGUCAGAUAAUAUUUACCUAUAUAUUUAUUUUAGUCAUGUUGUACUUUCAUAUCUUUAUUUAUUUAAUCUGGAAUUAAAUUUAAUGUAAGUCAUGAUAUAAGUAUCUAGAUGUAUAGUUUUUACAUAGAUUUUACAAAUUAGUUCAGCUUCAUUAACUGCAUAAUUAUUUAUUCACCACUGAUUUAAAUGCCACUUUUAUCAGAUUCUACAUAACUUAGUUGAACGGAAUUUGGCCUGAAAAAAAUUUUUUUAAACAAGUCCGACAGAUUGACACUAUGCUCUGGUCUUCAGUAUGGGUAAUUUGGCAUAACAUGAAGCAUUUUUUGUUACUUUAAGAAUUUUUAGCAGCUACCCAAGCCACAGCAGUGACAAUGCCAGAUCCUUAACCCAUUGUACCACCAGGAAACUCCUUGCUUUAAGGAUUUUUAUCUACUCUUUAUUGUGGUCAGAAAACACACCACAAAGUUUACCACUAUAACCAUUUUUAGACAGACAGUUCAGUAGUGAUAAGUAUAUUCACAUUGUUGUACAACAGCCCUCCAAAAAUUUUUUUAUCUUGCAAAGCUGAAACUCUACCCAUUAGACAACAACUUCCCACUUCCUCCUCACCCUACCCCUGGUAGUCACCAUUCUAACUAUAUGUUUGUAUGAAUCUGACUACUUUAGAUACCUCAUAUAAAUGAAAUCAUACAAUAUUUGUCUUUUCGCGGUAGAUUAUUUCACUUAGAAUAAUGUCUCUUAAAACUUUUUGCAGACUUUACUCUCCCUCUCUUUUAAAUAUCUUGCUAAUUCUGGGUCAAAUAGAAAUGUUUUAAAUCUAGUCUCUGAUUGAAUGGGAUUGUGAAUGUCCUUAAUGUUUUGUAGCUUUUGAUUUUAUCUUAAAGAGCAUGUAAUAAUUCUGUUGCUGAACAUUCAGGUUGUUCCUGUUGAUCUUUUAUGGUCGGACCCUUAAGCUGGUCAGCAGUUCUACUCUGGCUCAUUUAUUGAACAAUUAUUUACUGAGUACCCAUUGUGUCAAACUCAAUUACUCUUUAGUAUAUAAUUUUUAUUGAAUACUCAAUUGUCAUAGCUUACUGCUAUGGACAUCUAGUUAUUCCGUUUUAAAAAAAUUAUAAUCUGUUAGAGCAGGAAUUUUCAGCAGGCUGAAAAUUAAUAAGAAACAGCAAGCAAUAAUUAGCAGAAAGUACUUUUCAAAAUGAACAAAACACUUAAAAACACAUGAAGAGUGAGUUCCCUGCUGGCCUAGUGGUUAAAGAAUCAGUGUUCUCACUGCUGUGGCAUGAGUUAGAUUCCUGGCCCAAAAUUUUCAUGUGGUGUGGCAAGCAAACAAACAAACAAACAAAAAACCAAAACACCCAAAACCCUGAAGAGUUUAAGCCUUCCUUAUUAUGUACCAAAUAGGUCAAUAUAUGAAAAAAAAAUCAUUGAGGAAAUUAACUAAAUAAUUUUGAAAACUAUUUACCAUUUAGAAAAAAUUAAAAUGUGGGAGUUCCCACUGUGGUUCAGUGGAAACAAACCUGGCUAGCAUCCAUGAGGAUUCAGGUUCGAUCCUCGGCUUUGCUCAGUGGGUUAAGGAUCUGGCAUUUCCGUGAGUUGUGGUGUAGGUUGCAGACACGGGUUGGAUCCCGUGUUGCUGUGGCUGUGGUGUAGGCCAUAGCUACAGCUCUGAUACAGCCCCUAGCCUGGGAACCUCCAUAGGCUGAGGGUGUGGCCCUAAAAAGACAA